rnacentral:lncRNA from 1 species
UUUUUUUCUAUCAUAUCGUGAAUACAUCAUUUAAGAGCCCUCAUAGAAUGCAUCUCUCUUGGCGUCUACACUCCAUCUCUCCACAUCGCUAUGUCGCCUCUCUCCGCAAAAACCCAGAACGACCGGGCUUGAAAUACUUAGAGAAAAAUGGUAGAUCUUCUUCGCUCGUCGGAAGUCCGCUAUGGAUUUAAAUUGCUCCGUAGUUAUUUUCAUCUCUUCCCAAAGAUCUGAUUUACUUCAAUCUACUUGUUUCAGGUCAGUUGUUGAUUUUUCAUUUUUACAAUUCUCAAGUUUUUAUACAGUGUUUGAGUUUAAAAGACGAAUCUCAUGAGGUUGGAUUUUCUUCUCGAUGUUUGAUUCAAAUUACUAGGUUGAAAUUUGAUAAUCAAUUUGAGUAAUUAAUUCAGUGCAAUUUGUAGUAAGUUAAACUUUUGGAUACGUGCUGAAGGUCUCCCAAUAUUCUGAGAAUUGGACAGAGUCAACAAGUGAGGGUUUGGAAUCCAAAAUCUAUUUCUUUUUGGGUAAUAGAGACUGCCUUAGUUUACAACAAAGGGUGAUGUCUAUUUUUCUAGGUUUGGUGGCAAACAUACUGGCAUUCUUCAAAAUACAGAAUAUCUAUUGUACAAUAUCGUCCUUCUUUUCUACUAGUUGCUUCUAAACUAUCUAGCAAAUUUAAUUUAUGUUUGGCAGUUUAUCUAAUUUAUUAUAUCUUGGCUUUGUAAUCAUACAGAGCUGACACAGGAUAUUAGUGAAAUCAAUAACAAUGGUCAAUAGAAUGAUGUACAAUAGAGUAAGCUAAUUUUGAAGUUUUAUUUGAUUAUCAUCCUAAUUUAUUGCCCUAGAAUUAGGGUAAGGUUGAUGUUCUAAUUCAAAUGAUUCUUUAAGAGCACAUCUCAUAUGACUCGGUACUAUGCCAAUUAAUUAGGUCGGCUGUAGAACAAGCGAACUACAUCAUUCUUUGUUUGAAUUUAAUUAAUAAUUUACAAUUGCAGAUUAUGCGCAAUAAUCGAUUUUGAAUCUUGGCUAUUGGAGCAUGUUUUCACUUGCAAAUGGCCUAAUUUUUCAAGCAACGUAAGUCACUUUUAUUCAUUGCAUGUUAUGUUUCUUUAUCUUUUCAAAUUCUUUGAUUAUGUAUAACAUGGAAUAGUUCCUUUGGUCAAGGCCAAUGGUAAUACUACCAAUAAGAUGAUAGAAGAUAGUUUCAACAUUCAAGCACCUCUCCACCAUUAUUGUAACGACUCAACCAGUCGUUUUGACUGUUAGAACCCCGUUCCUCUAAAUAAGACUCCCCGUAUGCUCUUUUACUAGUUAUAACUUGCGGGGAUGGUUGGUUCGGGAUUUAGAAGUGUUCGGGUUGAAAUCGGAACACUUAGUUCCUUAGUUUGGCUUUAAAAGGUCAAGUUUGAUUUCGGUCAAUAUUUUUGGAAAACGACCUCGAAAUCGGGAUUUGGCGGUUCCAAUAGGUUCGUAUGGUGAUUUUGGACUUGGGUAUAUGUUCGAAUCGGGUUUUGGACAAACCGGGAGCAUUUUGGCGCUUAAUAGUGAAAACUAGCUAUUUGAAGGUUGAAGGCUCUUUAAAUUUGUUUUGGAGUAGGUUUUGGAGUAAUCGAGGUCCGUUUGGAAUUCCGAGCAUGGAGAUAGUUCCGUAUGGUGAUUUAAGACUUGCACACAAAAUUUGGUGUCAUUCCGAGUGGUAUAAGUAUAUUUCGGCGCGUUCGGAGUAAGUUUGAAAAAUUUGAAAAUUCUAAGUUGAAUCAAUUUGGUUUGAGGUAUGAUUCUUAGUUUUGAUGUUGUUUUACACGUUCCGAGAGUUCGAGCGAGUCCGUUUUAUGAUUUCAAACUUGUUGGUAUGUUCGGGCGGGGCACCCGGGACCUCGGGUGUCAACCGGACGAGGCUCAGACCAAUUUUAGAAUUUGGAGCAGCAACUGAAGCUUCCAGCUUCUGCUGCAAUCGCACCUGCGCUUGGGCUGUCGCAGGUGAGAGAAUCGCAGAUGCGACAUUUUGCUCGCAGAAGCGGAAAGGGCGCAGGUGCGAAGGGCAUCGCCGCAUAAGUGGACGCGCAAAAGCGGUCCUGAGGCUGCAUAUGCGGAGUUUGGCCAGGAGAGGGAAUCUCGCACCUGCGAGGAAUUUUUCGCAAGUGCGGUUACACCUUCGCAGGUGCGAAAAUCACAGAAGGCAGAACCUUCAUUUAAGUCGGGAGUUGCAUAUUUUGAGCCCAUUUUCUCCAUUCUUGGGCGAUUUGGAGCUUUUUGGGAGGAGAUUUCAACUAGCAACUUUAAGGUAAGUUAAUUCUACACACUUUGAGUUAAAUACAUAAAUUAUGGGUAGAUUAUAACUUGUAAAUCGUGAAAAUCAAGGGUUUAGAUAAAAAACCUAGAUUUUUAUAAAAAUGAGAUUUUAACCACAAAAAUGGUUAUGGAAUUAGAUGUAAAUCGUAUAUUUGAGUUCUUGAGAUUAUGGGUAACGAUUUCCUCCGAAUAUUUUCGAAAUCCGGGCACGUGGGCCCGAGGUGAAUUUUAGGAAUUUUACCAUUUUGGGUUGGGUAAUUAAUUUAAUAGUCUAGUUUCGAAUCAUUGAGCAUGUAUUAAUUAUUUUGUAUAACAUUUGGAUAGUUUUGGAUUUUUCGGCAUUGGAUUGAGACUUUAACGCGACAUUGUGAUCGGAAAGUGGACUUUGAGACGGGGUAAGUCUCUUGUCUAACCUUGUAAGAGGGAAUUUACCACAUAGGUGAUUUAAAGUAAUAAUUGUUGCUAAUUGUGGGGGCUACGUACGCACGAGGUGACGAGAGUCCGUGCGUAGCUACUAAUUAUGCGAUAUCCGGGUAGUUUAGGACUCAAAUCAUGAAUUACUUGUGAUAAUUGCAUCUUGUAUUUAAUUAAAGUACUGGAAUUAUAUUGUGAAUUGUUAGAAGAGAUAGUAAAAGACUGAAAUUUCGUCUACUUGAAUUUUUGUACAAAUUAUUUAACUGUUAAUAGAAAUUGUACAUCCUUGUAUGUUAGCCUUAUAAUAAUGACUUCUCAUUUCAGAGGUUCAUAAGAAAAUGUCCUCCUUUCUUGUGGAGCGAGCCGAACGCCUCGGCAGUAUAGAUGCAUUUAUGGAUCGUGCAGGACGUACCUCAGCAGUGUACACGACACUCUGGACCGGGUCGAAUGACCUCGGCAGAAAUCGUGCCUAAUAAUAAUAAUUACAUGAUACCUUGACAUUCUAUUGCAACUUGUGAAGCUAAUUGAUAAAUUAAAAAUUAUUGAAAUUGAAAGAAUUAAUUGAUUCUGCUUGUUAAGGAAAUUAUUGUUGUUCAUAUAAAUCAUGUUUAAUUAAAUGUUUCUAUUUUUAAUAUUAUUGACCCAUAGUGAGUGUCAAAGUUGACCUCCCGUCACUACUUAUUCGAGAUUAGCCCUAAUACUUACUGGGUACACGUUGUUUACGUACUCAUGCUACGCUUGCUGCACUUUUUGUGUAGGACCUGAGAUAGGUGCUAUAGGUGGACCUACCGGCGCGUACCCACGUUAUCCCGAGGUUUAGUGGUGAUCUGCCUUUCCGAGUCAUUCUGUAGCAACUAAUGCCUCUCCUUGUAUUUGUAUUAUGUCUAUUUUAUUUCAGAUAAUAUUUAAAAUUUUUGUAUAAUCUACUAGAUGUUCAUACACUUGUGACACCAGGUCUUGGCACACACACUAGUAGAAUUUUGGAUUUAAUUAUUUUCUUGGAUUUUAAUUAAUCAGAUCUUUCAUAUUCUCUUAAUUACUCGGAUAAUUGUUUAAGAAAUUAAUAUAUAUUUAAUUCACUAGUUGGCUGGCCUAGCUGUUAUGUUGGGUGCCAUCACGACCUAUAGAUUAAAUUGGAUCGUGACAAUUGUCCCCCUCCAUCUUCACCAAAACCAUAAUUAACAUUUUCCCAUAUCUAUGAGAUAAAUUCCACCAUAAUAUUUUACAACAGUACCUAUAAUGAGGUUGAUGGUGAUUUCUUCCUUGCAUCAAAAUGGCAAGUGCGAGUCAAAAAUUGACAUAAAUGGGCCAAAAAAUUAAGGUCGAAGAGAAAUAUAAGUAAUACCUAAUUUGAAGUUGGCUUUUUGUUUUGAGUCUAGCUAUGUUUCUUGACUAAAGCGAAACACCAUUCCUUCAAUGGUGGCUGGUUGAAUUUUAAUUUUUUUAUCAAAAUAAACUUUUAUCAUCAAGCAUUAGGGGGACUUGAAUUGGUUGAUUCAUACUUCGGUGGUGUUACAUAUAAGAGGAAGAAAUGUGCUUUCAGAAGUAAAAAAUAGUGGAAGAAAAUUUUGGAGUGGGUUUAUAAGGUGGUCGAGGAAGUGGAGGUUUCAGAGAUGGCCAUGGCAAUGGUGGUAGUGGUUAGGUGUUGCUGAAUUUUGUUAGGUGCAAUUUAUAGAGUCUGUAUCUGAAAUUUGGUGCAAUUUGGUGAAGGAUUUGAGUGGUUUCGAGUUGGAUUAAAUCUUCAAUAGUUUACUGCACUGUAUGUGAAGAAGAAAGGGACGUGGGGUGAGGAAGAAGGAGAAACAAGAGGGGGCCACUUUUUUUAUUUAUUAUUUUUUGUUAUUUACGCGCUUUUAAUUUGUUUUCUUUCUAUUUUUUUUGCCAUAUUAGCUGUUAAGGAGGAAAAUAAUUCACUUCAGAUGUGUUUAGGGGGUAAAAGAAUACCCGUUUAGUUUAAGUGUUCAAACAUAUUUUUUGGACAAGUUUAAUGGGGGUUUUAUGUAUUUUGCCAAGAUUCAACAACUAGAUGGCAUGCAAUUUUAUUUCAAGAGGAGCAUUAAUGCAGUGACAAGAAUUUCUUGAGUUAUGUUUCAAUUAUGUUCUAUAGAAGCAUCACUAUUGCAAUAAUUAGCUGCUGUAAAGAAGUUGUCGGAGCAUGCUUAUCUAAUCACCUUAUGAAAUAGGCUAGUAGGAUUAUAUUUGAUUUGGAUCAAAUAGAUGAUGAUUUCUUGUUCUUAUUAGAUAUCAAGUUUCAUCCUUUUGAAACAUGUUCAUUUGAUCCUUCAACCACUUGCUCAUAUCAGGAUUAAGCAUAAAAGAUAGUUUCCUGAACUUUUUCCUUACGAUAGUCUCAUAGGUAUUCUUUUAGCUUAUUUGAAGAUGACGCUUUUUAAAGUAAAAUUUUAACAUGAAGAUGCAGGAUGGAGUUGGUGUAUUAUCUUUGUAAAUGGUUAUGCUGAUCAGUAACAACUAUUAUAUAGAUUUAAGGUCUAAACACGAUGGCCUUUCUUUUACAUUCCAAUUAGUGAUAAAAGCUCCCAACAAAUUCCCAAGACAUGAUUCAAGAAAUCCUUCAAUGGGUGAUUUUGUAACAAUAGAGUGCUUUUUGGUUUGUGCCAUCUAUUUUUCUAUUUCAUUUCUAGAAGCUUUUUGUGAAGUUGGAUUGUAAUGCUUGAUGUUCUCAUUCUUAGUGUAGUUGGUGCUAUGUAAUUGGAUGGUAUACAACUAUCCCAAUGUGAUCUGUAACUCUUAUUCAAUUUAAAGUCAAGUUUUCUUGUCUCCAGAAUGCAUAUUUGAUAUAAUGUGAAGUUUUAUGAAUCUUUAAAUUAUUUCUGCAUGUGGGAAUGGUUGUCGGACAUUUAUGUUUAUCAAUUUCGGGCUAAUAGUAAAAAAAUUAAAUGUGUGCAGUUACUAAUCCAUCUUCGGACAUGUCGAGAUGCUAGCACAAGAGAUAAAAAGGAGCUGCAUCAGUUGAAGCAGUAGAAGACAAAAUAUGGCAGGUAUGUUUUACAUUUCUUUUUAAUGGUGUUAUAUAUGUGACUAUGACUUAGAGAUUUCUUCAUCGUGUAAUCGAACCCUGAGAAUUAAUGAAAGUAUGUGAUUUUGACUUUCAAAUCUAAUGUCUCCUUAACUGUCACAUUAAUUAUUGAUGUUGUGAAAUAUAUAGAGUUUUAGUCCUCCUCUUAACUUCCUACUGAGAAUGGAUGGAUUAAUUUUACUACGGAAUGAAAAUUAUUCAAUGAUAAUCCAUCUAGUUGAAAUAGGCAUAAAAUUACCAUAUGAAGAUUAGAAUAAAGUUGAUUCUGAGCUGAUGCUACUUAGCUUUUUGUUCUUCCAGUAAAAAUUUAUUUUUGAACAAAAUACACUAUCGCAAAAUUUUAGCGUAUGUUUCAUAGAACAGACGUUUUUGUGCAAUUAGUUUUGAUUGAAUUUUGUAGUAGCAUACCUUGAUAUGCUAGCAUGAGUUUGUAAAUGUUACAUAGUUGUUUUAUUGAUUAUUGAUGAACUUCAUAUGUGGUGGUUUAUUUGAUUUCAUUUUAUUUUAUUAUUUCAGGAUAUACAUUAUGGUGUUUAAAAACUUAGCAUGUGACAAGACUUCAUUGUGAUCAAGAAUUGAAGAAUCUUUUAUGUCUUUUAUUGUCUUGUUAUAGUUAUUUGAUAGCACAAUUUAUUAGAUUCAAAAUAAUACUAUUUAGAUUCAAAUAUAUUAGCAUUUUUGUUAAGUUGACACUUUGAAUUUAUGAAUUAAUAUUUAUUUUUGUUUGUUGUGGAUUAUAUGAAGAGUAUUAUUUUUUCAAAUGA